GUCAAUAACACUCAUUCAGACGCUAUUUCGGGGAUUUGCUAAAAGUCAGACUGAUUUCCAAUCAUUAUUGUAAACUUGAGUACUUAUAUAAUCAAAUUCGUAAGUCAUUUUCAACCAAAGGAAGAUUGUUUAAAUUUGCACAAUUCCUUUUAAGAUGCAAGAGGAAAAAGAGAAAUCUUUUACUGUUCACCUUUAAAACUCACUGGAGUGUUUAAGAUCUCUACUUUAAGGUUCUCGUUUUAUGAAGACUUUAGAUCACCUGCCAUAAGGACUGGGGCCUCUGAGUGGGGACAAGUAACAGUUACAGAAGUGAGACCAGAUACCCCAGUUUCUCCUUGUCAUGGUGUGUCUCCUUCCUGAUCCCCCACAAGGCUGUUUAGGUUCUGGGUGUUGACUCCUAUUGCAGCUGGCUGGAAUGACGGAGCAUCUCCUGACAGGGUUCCACUUCAGCAGAAGCCACCGCUCAUAAAUUCCUCUUACGACCUUCCAGAAUUAUCCAAUGGAGAGUACUGAGUUCUUGCGGCAACUCACAUUUGGUUGGGAACACGUUAAGAAGGCAUUUGUCUGCCUAAUGACCUGCAAGCAGGAAGGAUAUUCUGUGACCUUACUUUGUUCUGUUGACCUUCCCUGGGGACGCCUCACCCGAGGACAGUGGGCGCAGAGGGUGCUGCAGAAGCUGUAUCACCUUCAUUCUCUGCUAGCUUCAUGGUCUACAUGGGACAGCCCUUCAGUCUAUUAUUUUACAGUUGUAUUUGUGCCACGGGUAUUUUUCAAGCGCUUCUUAUACCUGACUGAGGCCAUGGGCUCUGCAGGUG
ensembl:lncRNA